GUCUACGGCCAUACCACCCUGAACCCACCCGAUCUCAUCCGAUCUCGGAAGCUAAGCAGGAUGGGGCUGGUUAGUACUUGGAUGGGAGAAAUCUGCCUCAAGGUGUGUC
rfam:Fukomys damarensis contig72870, whole genome shotgun sequence.